rfam:Triticum aestivum genome assembly, contig: Triticum_aestivum_CS42_TGACv1_scaffold_114380_2AS
GACAUACUCCCUCCGUCCGGAAAUACUUGUCAUCGAAAUGAAUAAAAGGAGAUGUAUCUACUUGUCAUCGAAAUGAAUAAAAGGAGAUGUAUCUAGACAUAUUUUAGUUCUAGAUACAUCCUUUUUUGUCCAUUUUGAUGACAAGUAUUUUUGGACGGAGGGAGUACCUU